CUCAGGAUGAACGCCGGCGGUGUGCCUAAUACAUGCAAGUCGAACGCGUUGGCCCAAUUGAUUGAUGGUGCUUGCACCUGAUUGAUUUUGGUCGCCAACGAGUGGCGGACGGGUGAGUAACACGUAGGUAACCUGCCCAGAAGCGGGGGACAACAUUUGGAAACAGAUGCUAAUACCGCAUAACAGCGUUGUUCGCAUGAACAACGCUUAAAAGAUGGCUUCUCGCUAUCACUUCUGGAUGGACCUGCGGUGCAUUAGCUUGUUGGUGGGGUAACGGCCUACCAAGGCGAUGAUGCAUAGCCGAGUUGAGAGACUGAUCGGCCACAAUGGGACUGAGACACGGCCCAUACUCCUACGGGAGGCAGCAGUAGGGAAUCUUCCACAAUGGGCGCAAGCCUGAUGGAGCAACACCGCGUGAGUGAAGAAGGGUUUCGGCUCGUAAAGCUCUGUUGUUAAAGAAGAACACGUAUGAGAGUAACUGUUCAUACGUUGACGGUAUUUAACCAGAAAGUCACGGCUAACUACGUGCCAGCAGCCGCGGUAAUACGUAGGUGGCAAGCGUUAUCCGGAUUUAUUGGGCGUAAAGAGAGUGCAGGCGGUUUUCUAAGUCUGAUGUGAAAGCCUUCGGCUUAACCGGAGAAGUGCAUCGGAAACUGGAUAACUUGAGUGCAGAAGAGGGUAGUGGAACUCCAUGUGUAGCGGUGGAAUGCGUAGAUAUAUGGAAGAACACCAGUGGCGAAGGCGGCUACCUGGUCUGCAACUGACGCUGAGACUCGAAAGCAUGGGUAGCGAACAGGAUUAGAUACCCUGGUAGUCCAUGCCGUAAACGAUGAGUGCUAGGUGUUGGAGGGUUUCCGCCCUUCAGUGCCGGAGCUAACGCAUUAAGCACUCCGCCUGGGGAGUACGACCGCAAGGUUGAAACUCAAAGGAAUUGACGGGGGCCCGCACAAGCGGUGGAGCAUGUGGUUUAAUUCGAAGCUACGCGAAGAACCUUACCAGGUCUUGACAUCUUGCGCCAACCCUAGAGAUAGGGCGUUUCCUUCGGGAACGCAAUGACAGGUGGUGCAUGGUCGUCGUCAGCUCGUGUCGUGAGAUGUUGGGUUAAGUCCCGCAACGAGCGCAACCCUUGUUACUAGUUGCCAGCAUUAAGUUGGGCACUCUAGUGAGACUGCCGGUGACAAACCGGAGGAAGGUGGGGACGACGUCAGAUCAUCAUGCCCCUUAUGACCUGGGCUACACACGUGCUACAAUGGACGGUACAACGAGUCGCGAACUCGCGAGGGCAAGCAAAUCUCUUAAAACCGUUCUCAGUUCGGACUGCAGGCUGCAACUCGCCUGCACGAAGUCGGAAUCGCUAGUAAUCGCGGAUCAGCAUGCCGCGGUGAAUACGUUCCCGGGCCUUGUACACACCGCCCGUCACACCAUGAGAGUUUGUAACACCCAAAGUCGGUGGGGUAACCUUUUAGGAGCCAGCCGCCUAAGGUGGGACAGAUGAUUAGGGUGAAGUCGUAAC
rnacentral:rRNA from 1 species